CUCUGAGUUGCUAGAUGGCAGGAAGUGGAGAAGCAGAAGGAGCACUCAGGACCAAGUAGAAACGUGAAAAAAAUUGUUGGUACCUGCAGGAUAAGGUAUUCUUCUAAAUUGCAUUUAUGUAUCAGCAUCUAGCAGCUGCUUGCAUUCCUUGUCCCUUCCUCACGUCACUCCAGACUUUUGCUUCUGUGGUCACAUCUACUACUGAUCCUGUGGAUAUCCUGGCCUUCUCUCCUAAGUACUUGGUGAUUACAUCUUUGGGCCCAUCUGGAUAACCCUGGACAAUUGCUUCAUCUUGAGGUCCUUUAUCACAUCUGCAAAGGCCCUUUUGCCA